GUCUCUUCCACCCACACUCCACCCACCACUUCCUGCUGAACCUCAGGUUCCUAGGAAGAGAUUCUGAAACACACCUGUGGUAGUGAGAAGGUCUAGGGAGACAGGGACAUUGGUUGUCUGAGAACAAAGCUAGGGCUGUCUUUUGGCGUUUUUGACCUCCUACACAGAGGACCAGCCUGCCAGUCUGCAGUAGGCAGUCUGCCCACUGGAGGGAUGUGCUCAUGCACUCCCCUCCCACUGCAGUAUACUGGUGUUCAGGGCAGCUCUGCCUCUGCUGUCCAGAUCCAGCCACAAGCAGGCUCUUGCCUCCUCAUGGAGAGUUGUCCUCACCCAGCCUCCCAGUGACUAGAGUUCUGCAGCCACCAAAUGCAGGCUUGGUGCUUGAAGCAGAGAGGAAUUUCACCACACAGAAUUAACACUUCUCUUUGGAUUAUUAGUUAGUCAGGCACUUGCCUUUUUACUGUGCAUGUGCCUAGAAUUGAGUUUCCUGACUUACAUGAAGAGGAGGCCUGGUCUUCCAUAGACCACUGGAAGAUCUCCUGAAAGGAGCUGUUCUCCCAGGCCAGCUGAGUCAGGCCUGUGCUGUGCUAAGAAGUAGCCUGCCUACCUUGUGGGUCAAAUAGUUCCAAUCCAGGUUUUGGCACAUGCAAAGAGAUUUGGCUCUGAGGCAUCUGAGGCUCUGGUAGGCUGGGUAUGAGGGAUGCUGAACAUUCCAUAGACACCAUGAGUGUCUCUGAACAGUCUAGGAAAAAGUGCUGUAGGGAGUAGGAGCCUGGGUGUUGGAGUAAAGGAGUGACAUGAUAGGUAAUUAAUGUGGAAUCAUGGGAGUAUGCUGCAGAGGGGUCAGGAAACUGAUAUGUGAAUACUCCUUUUUAGCUGACUUUGGACAAACUAUGUAACCCUCUUUGAAGUGGUUUCCUCUUCCAUAAAAUGGAUCACAAUGUGUUCUCUGCCUAUGAAUGUGCAGGGCUUUACAGACUGGAGUCCAGUGGUGAGGGAAGAAAGGGUGAUAGAGGCUGAGUCUAGGAGCAGUAGUUGGGUGCCUUGGCUGGGAGGCUUCAGUCCCAUAUCCCAGCUUCCAGGGUGGUGAUGGAGGACCAGGCAGAGGAAAAAUGUGGAGAUGUUUACAGGACAAGGGACAGGAUGUGCCCAAUGACAGUGUUGCUGGUGAGAGAAGUCCAGGAGCACUACUUUUGGCAUGCCAGAAGAGUAGGCACUGAAGAUCCUGAUGAGGUACUGCUGAGGUUCUGGGCCAGCAGGGCAGAGAGCAACUGAGUGUGAGUCAAGAUGGAGGGGCUCUGCUGAGAGGAGCGUGGGGGUCACAGUCAAUGGGAUGAGAGAGGGGAGCCAGGAACCACUGACUGGCCUGCUCCCUCGUACAUUCACAGGACCUGGAUCAGGUAAGCUUUUGACUCUGCCCAUAUCCAGAGAGAAGAGGCUGGGGUUGGUUUGGUAUAUUCUGAAAUGCUGCCAACUGGUAUUGCUGGAGAGGGAUGUAGGUACAAAAGCAGUGAGCUCUUUGGGACUUGGCACGGGUGGGGGAGGUGUUUUUAUUGCAUGGUCUCUGCCUUAGGAAUGGCACAAGGACAGGGGUGCUCUCUGGACUCUGAGUUCUGUGCUAGGAUGGUAAUUUGAAGGCAUCUCCUACUUGCCAGGUUUGCCCAGGGGGAGUCCCAGAGGUCACCCAGGGCUGACAGAGGCAGCAAGGCCUGCGAGGAGUCAGAACUGAAUUGUACGUGAUGGAACAGGAAAGGAAGACGGACAGCGGGUGCUCGGCACUCCUGGCCGCGUGCUGGACUGCGCUCUGUUGCUGCUGCCUUCUGGAGAACUUGGACUGAGCAGCCAAGACCCAAGUGUUCCCUGCAGCUCUGCUACCUCCUGUUACUGCAAUAAACAACUAGAGUUGCACAAUUUCAA